ACACAUGCAAGUCGAGCGGAACGAGUUAACUGAACCUUCGGGGAACGUUAACGGCGUCGAGCGGCGGACGGGUGAGUAAUGCCUAGGAAAUUGCCCUGAUGUGGGGGAUAACCAUUGGAAACGAUGGCUAAUACCGCAUAAUGCCUUCGGGCCAAAGAGGGGGACCUUCGGGCCUCUCGCGUCAGGAUAUGCCUAGGUGGGAUUAGCUAGUUGGUGAGGUAAGGGCUCACCAAGGCGACGAUCCCUAGCUGGUCUGAGAGGAUGAUCAGCCACACUGGAACUGAGACACGGUCCAGACUCCUACGGGAGGCAGCAGUGGGGAAUAUUGCACAAUGGGCGCAAGCCUGAUGCAGCCAUGCCGCGUGUAUGAAGAAGGCCUUCGGGUUGUAAAGUACUUUCAGCAGUGAGGAAGGUGGUGUAGUUAAUAACUGCAUCAUUUGACGUUAGCUGCAGAAGAAGCACCGGCUAACUCCGUGCCAGCAGCCGCGGUAAUACGGAGGGUGCGAGCGUUAAUCGGAAUUACUGGGCGUAAAGCGCAUGCAGGUGGUUUGUUAAGUCAGAUGUGAAAGCCCGGGGCUCAACCUCGGAAUUGCAUUUGAAACUGGCAGACUAGAGUACUGUAGAGGGGGGUAGAAUUUCAGGUGUAGCGGUGAAAUGCGUAGAGAUCUGAAGGAAUACCGGUGGCGAAGGCGGCCCCCUGGACAGAUACUGACACUCAGAUGCGAAAGCGUGGGGAGCAAACAGGAUUAGAUACCCUGGUAGUCCACGCCGUAAACGAUGUCUACUUGGAGGUUGUGGCCUUGAGCCGUGGCUUUCGGAGCUAACGCGUUAAGUAGACCGCCUGGGGAGUACGGUCGCAAGAUUAAAACUCAAAUGAAUUGACGGGGGCCCGCACAAGCGGUGGAGCAUGUGGUUUAAUUCGAUGCAACGCGAAGAACCUUACCUACUCUUGACAUCCAGAGAAGCCAGUAGAGAUACAGGUGUGCCUUCGGGAACUCUGAGACAGGUGCUGCAUGGCUGUCGUCAGCUCGUGUUGUGAAAUGUUGGGUUAAGUCCCGCAACGAGCGCAACCCUUAUCCUUGUUUGCCAGCGAGUAAUGUCGGGAACUCCAGGGAGACUGCCGGUGAUAAACCGGAGGAAGGUGGGGACGACGUCAAGUCAUCAUGGCCCUUACGAGUAGGGCUACACACGUGCUACAAUGGCGCAUACAGAGGGCAGCAAGCUAGCGAUAGUGAGCGAAUCCCAAAAAGUGCGUCGUAGUCCGGAUUGGAGUCUGCAACUCGACUCCAUGAAGUCGGAAUCGCUAGUAAUCGUGGAUCAGAAUGCCACGGUGAAUACGUUCCCGGGCCUUGUACACACCGCCCGUCACACCAUGGGAGUGGGCUGCAAAAGAAGUAGGUAGUUUAACUUCGGGAGAACGCUUA
rnacentral:rRNA from 1 species